CCUACGGGAGGCAGCAGUGAGGAAUAUUGGUCAAUGGCCGGAAGGCUGAACCAGCCAUGCCGCGUGAAGGUCAGUGCCCUAUGGGCGUUAAACUUCUUUUGUGCGGGAGCAAUAAUGGUCACGUGUGGCCAGACGAGAGUACCGUACGAAUAAGCAUCGGCUAACUCCGUGCCAGCAGCCGCGGGAAUACGGGGGAUGCAAGCGUUAUCCGGAUUUAUUGGGUUUAAAGGGUGCGUAGGCUGUGAGGUAAGUCAGCGGUGAAAUGCCCCCGCUCAACGGGGUGAAGUGCCAUUGAUACUGCCUGGCUGGAAUGCGGAUGCCGUGGGAGGAAUGUGUGGUGUAGCGGUGAAAUGCAUAGAUAUCACACAGAACACCGAUUGCGAAGGCAUCUCACGAAUCCGCGAUUGACGCUGAUGCACGAAAGCGUGGGUAUCAAACAGGAUUAGAUACCCGGGUAGUC
rnacentral:rRNA from 1 species